AGUGAACGCUGGCGGUAGGCCUAACACAUGCAAGUCGAACGGCAGCACAGUAAGAGCUUGCUCUUACGGGUGGCGAGUGGCGGACGGGUGAGGAAUACAUCGGAAUCUACUUUUUCGUGGGGGAUAACGUAGGGAAACUUACGCUAAUACCGCAUACGACCUACGGGUGAAAGCAGGGGAUCUUCGGACCUUGCGCGAUUGAAUGAGUCGAUGUCGGAUUAGCUAGUUGGCGGGGUAAAGGCCCACCAAGGCGACGAUCCGUAGCUGGUCUGAGAGGAUGAUCAGCCACACUGGAACUGAGACACGGUCCAGACUCCUACGGGAGGCAGCAGUGGGGAAUAUUGGACAAUGGGCGCAAGCCUGAUCCAGCCAUACCGCGUGGGUGAAGAAGGCCUUCGGGUUGUAAAGCCCUUUUGUUGGGAAAGAAAAGCAGCGGGUUAAUACCCCGCUGUUCUGACGGUACCCAAAGAAUAAGCACCGGCUAACUUCGUG
rnacentral:rRNA from 1 species